rnacentral:rRNA from 1 species
UACGAAGGGGGCUAGCGUUGUUCGGAAUUACUGGGCGUAAGGGGCGCGUAGGCUGUGCUGUAAGUCAGGCGUGAAAUCCCCGGGCUCAACCUGGGAAUUGCGUUUGAUACUGCGGCGCUGGAAUGCAGGAGAGGAUGGCGGGAUUCCCAGUGUAGAGGUGAAAUUCGUAGAUAUUGGGAAGAACACCGGUGGCGAAGGCGGCCAUCUGGCCUGUAAUUGACGCUGAGGCGCGAAAGCGUGGGGAGCAAACAGG